rnacentral:rRNA from 1 species
GAUGAACGCUAGCUACAGGCCUAACACAUGCAAGUCGAGGGACCGGCGCACGGGUGAGUAACACGUACCCAACCUGCCCUUUACUCGCGGAUAGCCUUUCGACUGAAAGAUUAAUACCCGAUGUUAAGGAUGGGGAUGCGUUCCAUUAGGGUGUUGGUAAGGUAUCGGCUCACCAAGCAUUCGAUGGAUAGGGGUUCUGAGAGGAAGGUACCCCACAAUGGAACUGAGACACAGUCCACACUCCGACGGGAGGUAGCAGUGAAGUAUAUUGGUGAAUGGGCUUUAGCCUGAACCAGCCGAGUGGCGGAAAAAAGGAAGGGUUAUGAGUCGUAAACUUCUUUUAUAGAAGAAUAGGUAUUAUAUGAAUAAGGAUCGGCUAACUCCGUGCCAGCCGCCGCGGUAAUUC